CCUACGGGAGGCAGCAGUGGGGAAUUUUGGACAAUGGGCGCAAGCCUGAUCCAGCAAUGCCGCGUGAGUGAAGAAGGCCUUCGGGUUGUAAAGCUCUUUUGUCAGGGAAGAAACGGUGGAGGCUAAUAUCCUUUGCUAAUGACGGUACCUGAAGAAUAAGCACCGGCUAACUACGUGCCAGCAGCCGCGGUAAUACGUAGGGUGCAAGCGUUAAUCGGAAUUACUGGGCGUAAAGCGUGCGCAGGCGGUUUUGUAAGUUUGUCGUGAAAUCCCCGGGCUCAACCUGGGAAUGGCGAUGAAGACUGCAAGGCUAGAAUCUGGCAGAGGGGGGUAGAAUUCCACGUGUAGCAGUGAAAUGCGUAGAGAUGUGGAGGAACACCGAUGGCGAAGGCAGCCCCCUGGGUCAAGAUUGACGCUCAUGCACGAAAGCGUGGGGAGCAAACAGGAUUAGAUACCCUGGUAGUCCACGCCCUAAACGAUGUCUACUAGUUGUCGGGUUUUAAUUAACUUGGUAACGCAGCUAACGCGUGAAGUAGACCGCCUGGGGAGUACGGGUCGCAAGAUUAAAAACUCAAAAUGAAUUGACGGCUGAGACNGCGAGACGACGACGAGGGAGAGG
rnacentral:rRNA from 1 species